rnacentral:lncRNA from 1 species
GUGAAGCAUCCCUUUCUAGAGAAUUUAGAUUCUGUCAUUGUCUAUUUUGCACUUGGGAAUGUGGUAGUGGUGUGUUGUUUUUCUCUUCGGCUGGUGAGGAAAAGAGGUGGGAAACCCUGGGCUUGCCAAUGUCCUAUUUGUCUUUCUGUUUGUUGUUGCAACUGGCCUCAUUAAAUCAGGCGAGAGCUGCCAACGUAUACAACUUUGGCUUUCCUAAUUAAAGUUCUGCUGAAAAAAGCUGCCCCUCUCCUCUGACUCUCUCACAGGAAUGCACUCUCGUAACAGAGGCAUCUGCCCCCUGGACUAACCUUUCUUAAAACCAGAUAAACAAAGUAAUACCAAUAAAAAUAUCCAUCUGUGUUUAAAGAUAAAUAGAGCAUUAAUAUACCAAACUGAGAUCUGGAUUCUUUUGGAACCAGCUUUAAUGAUAUUAGACAUCUGUUCUGGCUUGCUUUCCACUCAUUUUCCACUUGCAGAUUCUUAUAAGAAAACCAUGUGACAGCAGUUUUUCUGUGGGAAGUGGGGGUGCCACCUGAACCCCUGCCCUUUCUCAGGUGAUUGCCCCAGUAGAGGGUAGUAGAUCCCAAAGGUGUAAGCCAGUGAUGUCCCUUACCAUGUGGCAGUCUGUUUGGGCCUCAUUGUGGAUUUUAAGCACUGUGAUCUUUUUACAUGUUUAUUUUUGAGAUACCAGAACGCCAACUUAUUCCUUUACAAUGGUAAGUGGAAUUGUCAAGUAGACCAGAUGCACAAAUGUUGGCACAAUCGUGGCAGCCUUUCUCAUCCUGGAGUUAAGUCGUAUGAAUAUCCAAGAAAUAUCCAGGAGCUAUUCAUUUACCAGGAGAGAGCAGUUUCUCUGGCAGGAAAGGUGGGAGGUCCCCAUGAUGAUUGUUUCUUUUAAAGAGAAUUGGACUUGGAUGACAAAAAAAACACCCUUUAAGUGUUUCUUUUACCAUUUUUAACACUCAAGAACAAUUUCAGGCAAAGUACUAUUGUGGGAAAUCUUUCUCCACUUAAAUGCAGACUUGUCGACCUGGAUUUGUUAGAUUUGGUGCUAACUCCAAAGUGACUACGGGCAGAUCAGUGGGGGUGGGGGCCACGUUGGAAAUGUGCGGGGGCAUUCAGAAUUGUUCCGAUGAUGGGAGAGAUGACACUGAUUUUUGGUGCCCGAAGAACAACAAUGCCAGAGGCACAGCAAUUUGAGGGACAGUCUUAGUCGAAUUGCCUGUUUGAAAUGCUGAUAUAACAGGGUAUUG